rnacentral:rRNA from 1 species
AGAGUUUGAUCAUGGCUCAGAACGAACGCUGGCGGCGUGGAUAAGACAUGCAAGUCGAACGCUGAUUACGGGGUAGCAAUAUUCCGUGGUCGGAGUGGCGCAAGGGUGCGUAACACGUGGGUAAUCUGCCAUAAAGUUUGGGAUAACUCGCUGAAAAGGCGAGCUAAUACCGGAUGUGAGAAUCGGAAGGCAUCUUUUGAUUCUCAAAGCUGGGGACCGCAAGGCCUGGCGCUUUUUGAUGAACCCGCGGCCUAUCAGCUAGUUGGUGAGGUAACGGCCCACCAAGGCUAAGACGGGUAGCUGGUCUGAGAGGACGACCAGCCUCACUGGAACUGAGACACGGUCCAGACACCUACGGGUGGCAGCAGUCGAGAAUUUUUCACAAUGGGCGCAAGCCUGAUGGAGCGACGCCGCGUGGGGGAUGAAUGGCUUCGGCCCGUAAACCCCUGUCAUUUGCGAACAAACCUCGCUAUUUAAAAGAUGGCGAGCUGAUUGUAGCGAAAGAGGAAGGGACGGCUAACUCUGUGCCAGCAGCCGCGGUAAUACAGAGGUCCCAAGCGUUGUUCGGAUUCACUGGGCGUAAAGGGUGCGUAGGUGGUGGGGAAAGUCUGAUGUGAAAGCUCCAAGCUCAACUUGGAAAUGGCAUUGGAAACUACUCUGCUCGAGGGUUGGAGGGGGGACUGGAAUACUUGGUGUAGCAGUGAAAUGCGUAGAUAUCAAGUGGAACACCAGUGGCGAAGGCGAGUCCCUGGACAACUCCUGACACUGAGGCACGAAAGCUAGGGGAGCAAACAGGAUUAGAUACCCUAGUAGUCC